rfam:Facklamia ignava CCTG 37419 genomic scaffold supercont1.1, whole genome shotgun sequence.
AGGACUUUUAAGGUAAUCCCGUGAGGUUACUAAGGUCACCCGUUGAUUUAAAGCCCUUAUUCUCAAAAAAUAGGGGCUUUUUGUGU